ensembl:lncRNA
AAUGGGCCGCGCGGACGCCGCCCCUCCCCCCGACCCCGGCCGAUAGACGCGCAUCCUCCAGGUCCCCGUCAGCCUUUCGGGGAAAGCAGAAAUCAGAUGCUGUGCGAAGGACCCUUUGCAAAAGCUUCAGCCUGCUGGCCGAGCCGGACGCCCCGGGUGGAGGCCCCUGCGGGAUCGGCCGGCGCAGCCCUUGCUUCGUCGCCAAUCCGGCUAGCCACCCAGGUCCGGGGUGCGAUGCGGGGUGCAGAGAGCCUCUUUCGCUUCGCCGACGCCCUAGGACCACGCCAGAAGGAGGAACGCAGCGGGGCGCCCCGCAGAUGCAGACAGAACCCCGACGUGGGCAUUUUUGCAGAACUAUCCCAAAGCCAAGCGGCGUUGACUACUACUACUCGCCCCUCAGGCUCUCUAAGAAGAGGGAGGGAGCGUAAAAGACACUCACCCCUCAGUCCUAGUUAUUGGAACAUGUUCCCAACACCCUGGCUGUCCCAGUGGCUGGAAGCUUAUUGCAGGAAGGUGCAGUGGUAGGUGUGGAAGAAGCAACAUGAAGUUGAUGGAACUGCCAUUCCCAAGAAAGUGAUGGUGAGCAGAGCGUGCCCUGCAUUGUGAGAAGCACUAUGAUGGAUAUUAUGAAACAUGCUAUUAUCCAAGUUUUGACAGAAUUUUGCUGGAGGGGCCACCACAGUGUUGACCUUGGUUGAUGGGUUUGACCUUUGCUAAGUGGGAUUCCUCAGUGGCUGCUGGAAGCUCUGAGAAUGGGAUCCUCUGGAAAUUAGAAGAAUCAUCUGAUUUAAGCCACAGACAACAACUUAGAUUUGGGGAUUUAUGUCAUUUUCUCUUUGUGACUUCGCCUGUAUUCACAAUUUAAUGAUCUGGACAUCUUUUUUUUCCCCUUAUACUUUUAAAACAUUUUCAUUGCUCUUCAAAAGCAUUUUGGAAAGUUUUCAUUAUUCAGCCUUUUAAAUUUAGUAAAGCACCUAAGGUUAACUUGGUUAUAACAUUC